AUACAGACUUGGUCUCCAACGUAUCUGAGAGUGCUUGUGAGUUUCUUACCAUCAGGAUUGCUUGAAGUUGGAGAUUGGAAAACCAAAAUGCUGCUCGAGGGUGGAGGAGCAUGUCUAGUUUUUCUUCAUGUACAAAUUGCCAAUAAUUUACAGGACUUCCUAUUAAGAAGACCCCCAAUUGAUAGCUAACGGUACAUCGUCAUAGAAAAUCAAGCAUGUUCGAGGCAGUUCAUUGCUUUAAGGUAAUCUCAGAUUCUGGUUUCAUCUUGCCGGUCAUUCGGAGAAUCAGAAAAUGCUCUUCAGGUAUAACUAGAACAGCGGCUCGAGAUUUCCUUCAGUUCAGCUUCAAACCAUAUUUUUAUUUAUUUCUUGUCAUUAAAUUUUUUAUAUUUAAUUUUCUGUUUAGUUUUUAAUUUUUAUAGCAUCCUCUGACUCUCGCACCGGAAGCUAGAGCUCUCCUGCGACAAUAGUCCAUUGUGUUGGGGCGCCAUUCCUGAUUGCAUCAGAUUGCACCUUGGUCUUGUGGUACCUAACAGCCCGUACUGCGUAGCAAAUGAGGGUGAGUCCAGAGAGCGCGACACGGCGGUCGAAUUCAGAAAGAUGGUAGGGCCUUGCACCAGCUGGUGCUGCUGCAACUGGUGGCGCGCUCGCAGGCUCAGCAAUAGCUAUAGCGCCAUCUGCUUCUCCUCCUCCUCGGCGCUUAUCCGAGCUAGAGGCCUCUCUACCUCCUCCGAAAAUCCAUCUCCCCUUGGAGGAUUGGCCGGCGAGGAGGAUCCGGUGGCGGAGACCGCGAGAUGGGUCCGCGAGACUAUCCUGAGGCGGCCCCGGUGGGAGAGCUCCCUCUCCUCCCUCUUCCCUCCCUCCCGCCUCUUCCACCCCGCCUGCGUCCGCCUCGUCCUCCGGCCCCUCGCGUCCUCCCGCCCACUCCUCUCCCUCCGCUACCUCCUCUGGCUCUCCUCCCACCACGACGCCGCCCCUCCCCUCGACACCCCCACCGCCUCCUGUCUCCUCGACGCCCUCGCCCGCGCCAGGGCCUGGAGGGCCGCCCUUCUCGCCCUCCGCUCGACGAAAUGCCGCCCCGACCCCGCCGCCCUUGACUCCUUCCUCCUCCGCCUCGUCCGCAGCGGGCUGGUGGAUGACACCGUCGAGGCCAUCUCCGAGCUCGGGACCCACCUGGGCUACUCCCCAUCCCUCCGCACCUGGAACGCCGCCCUCUCGGCCUCCCUCAGGGCAGUGCGGACCGAUGCCUUGUGGCGCCUCUACGGGAUGAUGAUGCGGUCCGGCGUCGCCGUCGAUGCGUCCACCGUUAGCUACCUCAUCCGGGCCUUCUGCGCCGAGGGCAGGCUGGCGGAGGCCUACGUGCUCCUUCGGGAGGUCUCCAGGAACGGGCUCAUGCCGGACGUGGUCUCCCUCACCAGGCUGGUCUCCGGGUUCUGCAGGGAUGGCAACUACGGCAAAGUCUCCGAGCUCCUCCACGUGAUGAUCGCGGGCGGCCGCAUGCCUGACAUCUACACGUACCAAUCCAUCAUCCACGGGCUGUGCGACAAUGGCAUGGGCCACGAGGGCUUCCGGGUUUUCAACGAUCUCAAGCGGAGGGGUUACGCGCCCGACGCGGUCACGUACACCACCAUGAUCGACGGGCUCUGGAAGAUGGGCCGGAUCGAUGACGCGCGGAAGCUGUGGUCCGAGAUGGUCGGGAAGGGGAUGGAGCCGAACGAGUACACCUACAAUGCCAUCGUGGAUGGCUACUGCAAGGCGGGCGACAUGGAACAGGCCCAGAGGGUGUAUGAUGAGAUGCGUGCCAAGGGUUUCAAAGAGAACACGGUGAGCUGCAACACCUUGAUCGCGGGAUUCUGCUUGCAGGGGAGGAUGGGAGAAGCAACCGAGUUGUUCGAGGAAAUGCCCACGAAGGGCAUCAAGCAUGACGUGAUAACCUACAACACGCUGAUUCAAGGCUUCUGCAAAGUCGGGAAGACGGCCAAGGCAAUGGAGCUUUAUCGGGAGCUGCUGUCGGCAGGUGUGCAGCCCAGCAUUUCAACAUACACCCCUUUGAUUCAUGUUCUAUGCGAGGAGGGGAAGGUGGCCGAUGCGAUGGAGCUGAUGGGAUCUAUGGAGGCUAAUGGUUUGGAGCCGUUAGUUUGCACCAAUGAUUUCAUCAUAACUGGAUUCUGCAAGCAGGGCAAGGCUGAAGAGGGCAUGGCCUGGCUGGUAAGCAUGUUGGAGAACAAUCUUAAACCACGACGAGAGACGGUCAACACAUUAAUCGGAUCCCUAAGCUCGCUGGAACGGUUGGAUGAUGCAUUUCUGGUGCUAAAUGCUAUGUUUGAGAUCGGCUACUCUCUAGGAAGUUCAGCAUGCUAUGUGCUUAUUAAUCAACUAUGCCAAGAGAAUUGGUGCGAAACUAGGGGGCGUUUGGAGGAGAUCUUGGUGAGUGACUAGUUGCAGACUCCUGCUGCUGCCCUCGAGGCGGAUGCUAUCUCAGCGAAGGAGAAGUAUUUAAUUUGAAGAAACAUCGUGGUCUCCAGCAAGAUAAUACCUGGUUUUGGGGAAGGUCGGAUAUAUUCAACUUUACUCUUGCAUGUAGAGAUGCCUUAUUCUUAACUCAUGACACCCAGGUCACAAUGGAGUGACCUUAUUGUUAUGCCAAGGUGCACUGUCAUUAUUAUUGUUACAUCCAUAUUCAUAAUAUUUAUGUAAUAUUAUAUAAUAAUAGUAUGAGCAUAUAUUGAACAAGUUAAUUUACAUUAGCAUCAUGUUAUUUUUAUUCUAUCAAUAUUUGAAUAAUAUUACCUAUCAUAUAUCAUGUGAACCUGACCAUAUUAUGGUUGACUAAAAUAAUAAUAUUUGAAAAUAAAUUAUUUUAUUAAUGUGUAAGCAAUAUAAUUUAAUAUUUAUUAUGAAAAAUUCAUAUAUUUUUAAUAAGAUAGUAUUAUUUUAUUGUUAAUUUAUUUUACUACUUAACUAAUGGCUUAUAUUGGUUUUCAAUAUUGAAAACACUAGUCAUUUUCAAUAAUAAAAUAGGGAACUUAAAAGGUUUACUUAUUAAACUUAUUAUUAAUUAGUGAAUAAAAAUUAUUACUUUUCUCGUAAUUAAUUUUAUAAUUUAUUUUUUUCAGGUUGGCAUUAUGGAGUCAUGAACAAACUUUAUAAUGGUCAAAGUUACAUACUCGAAGAUUUGGAUUAAAAAAGGCAUGACAAUUAACCAAAUUAAUACAUGUAUAAAUUUCUAUGUAUUAUUAAAAGGGGAAUACAUUUUAGGAUGGGGCGAACCAACCUAUACCUUCAAAAUCCCGAUGUCCAGUACAUGGUCCAUUUCACAACUUUAGAAACCCAAACUCUAUAUGUAGCAGUACUAUUGAUUUACAACCCAUAUUAAGUAUGAAGUUUAUUGCUUUAUAGAGCAGCAGUCAUACUUCUCAAUCUCUCAUCUCUUAUGCAAAACCCAAACAUAAGUAAAAUAAAAGACAAGUAGCAAGAUAUGGGGGAUCAUAUGGAUUAGAUGGGCUUAGACUUUGAGGGCUUUUGAUCAUUGACAAUGAUGGAAAAGUCUGUGCUUCUCCUAUCAACUGUCUCCAAGCAACCUUAUACAUCAUUGCCUUAUAGAUGGUGAUUGCCACGGUUGCCACAUGUGUGGCCAUCCAAGUGGCAACCACAUAUGGGUGGUUGACAAACCUGGGAAGAAGGCAUUGGACAUCAUAUAAAACAGUUGUCUUAGUAACCUAUGAGCACAAUAACGAAACUGAACCACAUCCAAACCAUGCAAUCCAUCAGAAAUAAAAUCAACAUAGCCACAUUACAAGGAACUGUGAACAAGAAUGAGAAAAUCAAGAUAUCCGACAAUCGCACCAGGAACCUGCAAACAAGCAUGAUAAAAUCAAAAAUAUAUAGCAAGCUUACAUCGAACCUGUGAAUAAAAAUGAUACCACAUAUAGUUGCAACAAUCGUCACAUAUUUGUCUCUCCAAGUUGCAACAAUGUAGGUGAUUGACAAACCUGUGAAGAAGGCAUUGAAGAUUAUAUGCCACCAAUGUCAUAGAAACUUGUGAACAAUGGAAAAACCAAACCAGAUUCAAACCAUGUAAUCUAUCACCAAAAAAAAAUCAUGACAACAAUCUUAUAAUUAACCUGGGAACAAUUAUAAAGGCCAAAACAGUGACCAACAAGGCAAGAAAAAAAUUCACCAUAGAAUGAAGAAAACAGGCUUCAUAAAAAUACUAAAACAUUGCCAGGGAAAAAUUUUGCUAUGCAAUGCGGAUAUAUUCAUCAUAGUCAUUUGCCUAGGUCAUCAUUUCUUAGUUUGCCAUAUCAUGUUAGACCUCCUCAACAUCAUGCAAAAACAACUCUAUCUUUUUCACAGUCAACUUCUAAUAAAUUGUUUGACCAAUAAACUAAUUAUACUUAUGUCUCAUGGAAAAAAUCCAUUUUCUGCCAGAAAAAGUAGAACCUAUGAGCUUCAUUUCAAAUUUUCCAUUCACAGUUUAUAAGAAAGCAUCUUAUAGUGGCCCUUUUCACAUAAUUGAGGAUGUGGCAGACAUGCAUAAACAGAAGAUAAAUUUUUUUUUAACCUUUAAAAUGUCAAGAUAAUAGUAAUACAAUAAUAUGCUUCAUGGACACUAUUCCAUGAUGUUUCCAGGACCUCCCUAAGACCCUUCCAUUUCACUAACCCAUGUUCUUCCUUUUCUUCAAACCUUUCCAAGGUCUGCCAGCUAAUGUCAUUACUAAUCCUAGUUGCCAAACUCACUAUCACCCAGAAAAAACUAUUAUAGAAUGAAGAAGAAAAUUUUCAACAAAAUGCAAAGUAUAGCCAAGAGUGAACACAUAAUCCCCUGUGUCCUCAUAUCAAUAAAAUUGAUUAGAAGAAAACAAACCAAAUGAAAGAUUUCUUUCAAAAAAGACCAAAUCAUAGAACCAAUCUCAAGCCUAAAUCUUAUCACCCAAUAAAAUUGUUUUCUUUUUCUAAAGGAAAUAUUUAAAACAGUCGAAUUGUAAAACUUUAGCACCAGAAGGAACAUCAUUUUACCUUGCAACAUAAUUGAUCAACUCAAAACUUUUUUGAAAAUUCAAAAAAUUACAAAAAAUAAUAAAACUAAUCAUUUUGAAGCCACUAGAUCUAUAAGCAGAUCCAAAUAGGAAACAACCCUCUUCCUUAUCUUUCCCAAUCUGAUCCAUAGUCUACUAUUUCAAGAUACCAAAACCUAGAUCAAAAAUCAUAACAAAAAGUAAAAGAAUUCAAGGAAAUCAACCAAAAAUACAAAAAAUCAGUGAAAAAAAGAGUAACCAGAGAAAUUAUCUCAGAUCUAAAAACUAUAUUCCUGUAACUUGACUCCUAGAUUCCAAUGCAGUAAACUACUAACCAUGAAACUGGCACCAUAAGAAAGGGCAGACCGCUAGGGAGUUGCUAGGGAUGGGGAGAGAGGGGGCCGAGGGAGCAGAGGAUUGAUGAGGGAAGUGGUCUGGAGAGGGGAGCUUGGAGGCAAUUGAAUCUCUUGAGGGGAGAGUGAGGGGAAAGUGGCAAGACAUGCUCGUGCCCACUUUUAGCAACUUCAUCCUGAAGGGGGUCCAAAGUUAUGGAAGUGUAAAUCUAGUUCAAAAAAUCGGGAGUAGGUUGGUAAUGACUUCUGCCCUUGUUGUGGCUUUCGGUGCCCACUGUCAUAGCUAAACACUCAGGCUCGCUGGAGUCGGUAUCAGAAAGUGACCUAGAGUAAUUUUCGGGGCCAACCAAAUAGGCCCUAACUGAAAGUAUUGCUACUAUUAUGUAGUUCUGCAUGUUGUCCUGUUCUAGCUUUAUUGGACUAUACUUAAAGGUAGUUUGGUAGGCUUCACAACCAAAAGAUAUGAAAAUUGGGAAGCUCAUAUGCAUAAAUUUACGUUUAGGGUGCAUUCUUACUACUUGGCUUGAAAUGGUUCAUAUGGGAUUCAUGUUUGGUGAAUUAUAUGAUGCAUAUAUGAUACUUCUUUUGUAGAUGAGAGGAGUUACUUCUCACCCUCUACCCUCUGGCCACCCCGCCCCACAAGGUCAGAGCCCAAGAACAGGGCAAACUAAGCCAGUGCUCCUAGGAUUGGGGCUUAGUAUAGGUAGGAACAUUGCCCCGCGGAAUUGAAUCCCUGCCCUUUGGCAAGGAGUCAUACCAUAUGAACUAAAGUUCAAUGGUAGUAAAGCUGUUGUCUAAUGUAUUUGAGAGUCCUCAUGAGCCUAGCAUGACCAACCAUAGGUUGUGGUUAGUUGGGGAGGGGGGUGUGGUGUGUGGGGGAAGUGGGGUAAAUCAGUGGAAAUCAGAGAAAUUACCUCAGAUCUAAGAACUAUAUUCCUAUGCCUUGACUCCUAGAUUGUAAUGCAGUGAAUGACUAACCAUAGAAUUGGCACCACGAGAAAGGGCAGACCGUUGGGGAGUUGCGAGAGACCGGGAGAGAGGGGGUCGAGGGGGCAGAGGAUUGAUGAGGGAAGUGGUCGAAAUUGAGGGUAGAGCAUGUUUAUCCUUGCUUUGUCCUAUAUAUCUUUGAUUUUGGGGUCAAGAUAAUUUGUACUCAAUUAUUUGGUCAAACCCCCCUUUGUUAAUAUGAUGUCAUGCCAUAGUUGGUAUGCUCUAAAUUCACUUUAUUAAGCCCAUAUAAGAAAUAGUAACAGGAUUACACUUCAAAAUUAUUGCCUUAUCAGUUCAUAAAUUUUUGUCAAUUGAACCUUAGCUAGGAUUGGGGAAGGACAAAAAUUUCUUUGUUUUAACAACAAAUAAAUCUAGGGACUUGGUCUCUUCUCAAUUGGUUCUCCCUUCUCAUGUAAGACUUGGCCGCUAGGGACCAAAGGUGGAGGGGCACAGUUAGGGUGGUUGUUAAGUUCUAGGACUUGAAGCAAAAAUAUUUAGAAGAUAUAAAUUAAUACUGUUAGUUGAAUAAACAUAGAAUAUUUUAUUUUCAUCGACUUAAUUUGCAGGAUGUAUGAGCAAUGAUUUAUAAGAAUUUAGGGAUUGAAAUACAAAUAGUAAAGAGAUAGGGAUUAAUAUGUAAAUAUAGAAACUUUCAAGGCUAUGGUGUGAUUUGAUUGGGGAGAAUGAAGAACUUUCUCUAACUUGCUCAACUCAAAUCUUUUUUAAUAAAAAUAAAAAAAUAAAAGUAGGGUCUAGGUCCUCUUUUUUAUUAAUAAAUAAUAAAACUAAGUUACUAAGCGUCUAUUUGUGCUAGUGAGAUUUGCCCUUGCACAAUUCAAGUAGAAUUUCUCUUCUAAUUAAAAGAGGAUAUAGCUUUUCUAAAAUAGACAUGACUGAUGGAAAUAAUCAUGAAAGGGCAAAAAUUCAACAUGAGGUAGCUCUCGACUUUUGCAUCGUUUUUUGUCUUUAACUUCACCUAAUUCUUCCUGAAUUGGGACAUAUGCUUGGUCAAAUUCUAUGUUGAUUUUUUUUUUUGUAUUAAUUGGUUCGUUUUGAGACAAACAAUAAAAUUUGGCCAUGAUCGCUCGAUGCGCCGCAUCCUUGAAGGAUGGUGCCACAUCAUAGAGCUUGAAAAAUUAUUCAAUUUCAAAAGAAAAAAGAACAUCUCAAUCGGACAUCAUACGACCAAGUUAGGACAUCCAAAAGUUUGGCAUAUGAUUCAACUUCUCAAUAUAGCGGAUCUUGCUUCUAAAUCUUGUCUAGUCCUUCCGUAGUGGGUAGAGUGGCCUACAUCGAGACUAGUGUUCCUCUUGGAUCAUGGUGGUGGCAGUCUUGGUGGUGAAAGUGAAAGGGCCGAUGGUAGGACAUUCACUCAUGGUGGCAGCAGGAGUGUUAAGAGCCAAAAUUACAUGGAAUGAUAAAUGGGUAGAGAGGUGAGAGAAUAAGAGAGUGGGAGGAAUUAAGAGUAGGAAGAGAGAGGUUAAAAAAAAGUAGGUUGAGGGGGGUGGGGGGAAGGGAAGAGAGAUAAAUAGCUAGGAAUAGCAACAGGGUGCCAAGACUAUAAUGUUGUGGCUAUGGAAUUUUUUUUGAGAAAAAAAAAAUUAUGUUGCGCCUUAACUCUCUAAUUAGAGAUCUCAUGAGAUGGUGACUUAUGUAGGAAUCAGUCUAUGCGGAGAAAACUAUUUUAUUGAUAAUUUUGAAACAAAGUUAUUUAGUUAAAUAUUAUAAAAAUAAUAUUAUUUUUUAAAUGAAAGGAAAUAUUAUUUAAGCAAACUAUGUAGUUUAGAUUGGUCCGUUUAUAGCUAUGCACCUAGGUGCUCCAUCGAAAUAUAUAAAAAAAGAAAUUCAUUCAAGUCAGGUGGAGGCAUGUAGCACGGUGUUUGCAAGAAAGAGUCACAAAGGAAAGAAAGGCCCAGGUCAAUCUCAUCGGGCUUUAGGAAGAGAAGGGCUCACUUUAACCCUUCACCUUCUGAUCAAACAGAAGUGGAUGUGACUCUUCUUGAUACAAUAGUUUGCAGCCAUACCCCUUUUCCUGCCUGACCAAGUAAGCUGCAAAGCGAUUGUACAUACUCUUUUGAGGUGGGUUGGUCUGCAUAUCUAAAAGUUAACUCUAGCUUAGAUUUUUAACCAAACCACCCCGCAACAACUGUGUAUUGGGUAAAAUAGAAAAAUUAUUUGUAUAAUUUUUUGUCCUUGGCUUCUCAACAAUUGUGGGGAAAAAAAGGUGGUGCAUGAUAUGAGACUUUAAACAAGCAUGAAUUCACCUUUAUUGCUAUUAUUAUCUAUCAAUAUAUUACAAAAUUUCAUGCUAAACUGAUCUUAACUUGUAGCAAACUUUAGUUUAGAUGGUACCACCCCACUUGAGGCAAGGGGUACGGUUUGAUUCUAAAGGCCAUUGGCCUUCCUUUUGUGCCUCGUUAUUCAGUUCCCUGGUUCUGUGAAUGUUAGGAGGGAUCUGCUCAGUGAGUGCAGCAAGAUUCAACAUAGCAACUGUACAGCUUUAUAAUGGCCAAAGGUGUCAAUUGGCUUGGUUGGUAAAAUCAUUAGCUUUUGGAUACUAGUGAUGUAGAUUCAAAUCUGGCCCUCACCUCAAUUUUAACUGGGAUUUCUCCCGUCCAAUUCUCAAAGAAAAAUAUUAUUAUAAAUAUUAUAAUAAGUUAUUUAAUGCUAAUGGACUGUCAUAACACAGAUAAUGGUUUGAAUUUGUAUUUGCACUCUAUUUUAAUAAAAUGGUAUUUAAAAAAAAAUCAUAUUUUUUACCUUCAUGUUAUGAUCUCUGUUGUGCAUUAUGUACCAUGUUUGCUUAUGCAUUAUAAUUGUUUAGUUAUUAAAGCUUUGUUAUUGUUUAUGCAUGAGAUAGUAAUUGAUCAUUACAUGUUUCUCUCCUUUUUUGUUUAGUUGAUUAAUGCUAUAUGGUCAUUUUGUUAACUAGAGAGUAUUUCAUUCUAUUUUCUUCCCUUGAUUUGAAAAUAAGCUUGAGCUUCUGUAUUACAAACAUGCGUAUUAUCCUAAAGUAGCCAAAUUUUUAUUUAAAAUUUGAUUUGGUUGGAAGGGAUUUAUUUGCGCUGAUGCAUUUGAUCCCAAACAGUGCGUUUUUCCUGGUGAUUGUUUUGAUUAUGUAGAGGAGAACAAAAUUUUCUUUUCAGAUGUCAAAGAUAUUCAUAGCAGGGGAACAAGGUAUAUAGAGAGUAAGGCCGUUGCUGAUUUUAUUGAGGCAUUGAUAGGAGCCUACCUUAGUGCUGUUGGAGAACUAGCAACACUUCUUUUCCUAGGUUGGCAGGGAAUGAAGAUUGAGCAAAAUAAGGAGAUCAUCAUGGAAAGAUCAUUAUUAAGAAGACCUGAAAAGUAUGUAAAUGUUGAAUUUUUCGAGUCACUGCUGAAGUAUACAUUCAAUGACCCCUCACUAUUAGUUGAGUGUUGACACAUGGUUCUGAUCAGAUUCCGGAUAUUCCAAGCUGCUAUCACAUUCAUUUUGAACAUCAUUCAUCGUUAUGUUGUAGUGGCAAUGAUUUUAUGUGCUCUUUUCUUUUCACCAAAUUGAAAAAUGGUUUUAUUUCUUCGUUUUGUAUUAAAAUGGUUCUUUUCCUGCAAUUACUGGCUCAAGAUUAGUCUA